UGUAGCAAAACACUUGAUAUUGACAUUUCAAGAUAGACUGAAGAUAGCAAUAGAAAUUGCCCGAGGGGUUCGAUAUAUGCAUGAAGAAUGUCCUCAGGGCCCUAUUGUUCACGGCGAAUUACUCAUCAGCAAUAUUUUUCUGCAACGUGAUUUACGUCCGCUGAUCUCUGGCUUCGGGAAAGCUACAUGGCUUCAUCUUAAGCAAUUAUCAAAGCCAAUCCCCAACCAAAAGUUUUCCCUCCGCGAUUAUAUAGACCUGGAAUCAUGUGUUCGAUUAAAAUCCGACAUCUUCUCCUAUGGAAUCUUGCUUUUGAGGCUGUUUUGCAAAACAUCUGUGCCACGGGACGACAAAACUUUAAUU